UUACUUACCUGGCAGGGAAAAUACCAUCAUGAUGAAGGUGGUUUUCUCAGGACAAGGCUCAUCCAUUGCCCUCCAGAUAUGCUGACCCCUGCUAUUUCCCCCAAACUUGGGAAACUCAAUGUUUGUGGUAGUGAGGGACCAUAUUUUCACUAA
rnacentral:snRNA from 1 species